rnacentral:misc_RNA from 1 species
GACGGAGGGUGCGAGCGUUGUCCGGAAUCACUGGGCGUAAAGGGCGCGUAGGCGGCCCCCCAAGUCGGGCGUGAAAGCCCGGGGCUCAACCCCGGAGGUGCGCCCGAGACUGAGGGGCUGGAGGCCGGGAGAGGGGGGUGGAAUACCCAGUGGAGAGGUGAAAUUCGUAGAUAUUGGGUGGAACACCGGUGGCGAAAGCGGCCCCCUGGCCCGGUCCUGACGCUGAGGCGCGAAAGCGUGGGGAGCAAACAGG